AUCACGAGAAACACCGGUCCUCGUACGAUCAAUGAAGUUAAGCAAGCACGCGCCUUGUCAGUACAUAGAUGGGUGACCACUUGAGAAUACCGGGUGCCGUAAG
rnacentral:rRNA from 1 species